UACGUAGGGGGCAAGCGUUGUCCGGAUUUAUUGGGCGUAAAGAGCGUGUAGGCGGCUUUACAGGUCCGUUGUGAAAACUCGAGGCUCAACCUCGAGACGCCGGUGGAAACCGUAAAGCUAGAGUCCGGAAGAGGAGAGUGGAAUUCCUGGUGUAGCGGUGAAAUGCGCAGAUAUCAGGAAGAACACCCGUGGCGAAGGCGGCUCUCUGGGACGGUACUGACGCUGAGGUGCGAAAGCGUGGGGAGCAAACAGG
rnacentral:rRNA from 1 species